GCAGCAACUGAACCGCACGAUCGGCUCGCACCUCCUCAGGACCACCAGCCUCUUCAUCACGAGGUGGCCUCUCUCUUGCCCUCUCUUCUUCCACUAUGCUCCCAGCUACCUUGCUUCCAGUUCCAGCACAAACCAACCCCUAUCCAUCGCACCGCAUAUUUAUAGACAACUUCCUUCCCCGGCGUCCUUGGCCUAGUGAUACAUCGUUUCCGACGGACAAAGUGCAUGCUAACCUGCAUAAACUCGACACAUGAUCACCCACUCAUGCAUGUGGAGACCUAAUUGGGCUGGCUCAAUUGAUGGUCCAGCAAAUUUCCACCUCACAUUAGCAGGGGUGGGCAAUUCUUGGGCCAUUAAGGCAAACCUUAGAUGAGACUGAGAGUCCUACCUUUCUGCCCUACCUCGUUCUCUGGGUGUGUGUUGUGUGCUCUUUUCCUCUCCUUUUCUUGGUUUCAAAUAAUUGGGGUGACCAGUUAAGGAUACUUGAAUCUUAAGAAUCCCAAAGGAGUAGGCCCCUGCGACUGCGAUCGAAAGGAUAUCAUCAGCGUUGCAUGCCAGCCUAGAUAUCUAACAAGGCAGGGUGUUGAUUUCCUUUGCUCAUUCUCU
rnacentral:lncRNA from 1 species